rfam:Flavobacteriaceae bacterium TMED220 14870, whole genome shotgun sequence.
AANNAUGAGGAAGGAUUUGACUGAUUGCAACCUCAAUAAAAAAAUGCUAAAGCAGGUUGC